rfam:Lactobacillus mixtipabuli DNA, scaffold: sequence08, strain: IWT30.
ACGUCGUGAGACAGUUCGGUCCCUAUCCGUCGCGGGCGUAGGAAAUUUGAGAGGAGCUGUUCCUAGUACGAGAGGACCGGAAUGGACACACCGCUGGUGUAUCAGUUGUGCCGCCAGGUGCAUUGCUGAGUAGCUAUGUGUGGAUGAGAUAAACGCUGAAAGCAUCUAAGUGUGAAACUCGCCUCAAGAUGAGAUUUCCCAUUCCUAUAUGGAAGUAAGCCCCCUGAGAGAUGAUCAGGUAGAUAGGCUAGAAGUGGAAGUGCAGCGAUGCACGGAGCGGACUAGUACUAAUCGGUCGAGGACUUAACCAC